UACGAAGGGUGCAAGCGUUAAUCGGAAUUACUGGGCGUAAAGCGUGCGCAGGCGGUUUUGUAAGACCGAUGUGAAAUCCCCGGGCUUAACCUGGGAACUGCAUUGGUGACUGCAAGGCUUGAGUGUGUCAGAGGGAGGUGGAAUUCCGCGUGUAGCAGUGAAAUGCGUAGAUAUGCGGAGGAACACCGAUGGCGAAGGCAGCCUCCUGGGAUAACACUGACGCUCAUGCACGAAAGCCAGGGGAGCAAACGGG
rnacentral:rRNA from 1 species